CACGGCUCUGCUGCAAGAGCCAAGUCUCCUUGUGGCUUAACGGUUAUACUGCCAAUUGCUCCAGAGAAAGUGUCAAAAGAUGAUAUAAAUAACAAACAGAGACAUGUUAUGAAUGUUUCACAAUCUUACAAAAUUCUUACUUCGAAAAUCUACUCUUCUGGAGAAGGUUUCCCAUUCUGAGGUUGUUGGACCAGGACCAUGGAUAUAUUCUUGUAAAUUUUCAUUACCAAAACUUCCUGCUGCACUGGCUCUGCAGUGCAGAUGGAGGGAGGCUUUGGCUUCCUCAUCCUCAUCAUGAUGCCCUUCUGGAUUCUGCCAGACACUGCAGCCCAGGGACCGGUGUGCCAGAGGAAACAUGGAGCCACCAGGGAACCUGCUGUACCUUCCCAGAGCAGAAACCUACUCCAGAAUUUCUACUCCAGAACACAGAACUGUGAGGAGCAAGGCAGGCAGAAGAAAUCACUUUCCUACAAACACAAGAUGGAUACAGCAGGGGGAGAAGACAAGAUACACCUUUUUAUAAGUUAAAAACGUUACUUCAAAGAGACCUCAGAUGAGGUGGGCAGCUUUGUCCUGCUCCUAGAACUGUGCAGCAAUCUGAGGAGCCUGGGUGUCAGGCCAUCAGAAAACAGAAAAGAAUAUCCUUGAGACUCCCAAUCUGGACCCCCAUGGCGCUCAAGUCCUAUUACCAAAAGCUUGUUUCAAAGAACUGCGUUUACCAGCCUUCAUCUUAAAACAGAUGAUUGGUACAGACAUUUGACGAAAGUGCCAGUUCACUUUGGAAAGGGGUUGAUAAGCACAGAAACUUUUGCUGCA
rnacentral:lncRNA from 1 species